UACGUAGGGCGCAAGCGUUGUCCGGAUUUAUUGGGCGUAAAGAGCUCGUAGGCGGCUUGUCGCGUCGUUCGUGAAAACUUGGGGCUCAACCCCAAGCUUGCGGUCGAUACGGGCAGGCUAGAGUUCGGUAGGGGAGACUGGAAUUCCUGGUGUAGCGGUGAAAUGCGCAGAUAUCAGGAGGAACACCGGUGGCGAAGGCGGGUCUCUGGGCCGAUACUGACGCUGAGGAGCGAAAGCGUGGGGAGCGAACAGG
rnacentral:rRNA from 1 species